UACAGAGGGUGCAAGCGUUGUUCGGAAUUAUUGGGCGUAAAGGGAGUGUAGGCGGCUCGAUAAGUCUUCUGUGAAAUCUACGGGCUUAGCCUGUAACGUGCAGAGGAUACUGUCAGGCUAGAAUGUCGAAGAGGAGAGUGGAAUUCCCGGUGUAGAGGUGAAAUUCGUAGAGAUCGGGAGGAACACCAGUGGCGAAGGCGACUCUCUGGUUGACUAUUGACGCUGAGACUCGAAAGCAUGGGGAGCAAAC
rnacentral:rRNA from 1 species